rnacentral:rRNA from 1 species
CACGCAGGCGGUCUGUCAAGUCGGAUGUGAAAUCCCCGGGCUCAACCUGGGAACUGCAUUCGAAACUGGCAGGCUAGAGUCUUGUAGAGGGGGGUAGAAUUCCAGGUGUAGCGGUGAAAUGCGUAGAUAUAUGGAGGAACACCGGUGGCGAAAGCGGCUCUCUGGCCUGUAACUGACACUGAGGCUGAAAGCGUGGGGAGCAAACA